AUACGUAGGGGGCAAGCGUUGUCCGGAAUGAUUGGGCGUAAAGGGCGCGUAGGCGGCCCGGUAAGUCUGAAGUGAAAGUCCUGGUUUUAAGCUGGGAAUUGCUUUGGAUACUGUCGGGCUUGAGUGCAGGAGAGGUAAGUGGAAUUCCCAGUGUAGCGGUGAAAUGCGUAGAGAUUGGGAGGAACACCAGUGGCGAAGGCGACUUACUGGACUGUAACUGACGCUGAGGCGCGAAAGUGUGGGGAGCAAACAGGAUUAGAUACCCUGGUAGUCCACACUGUAAACGAUGAAUGCUAGGUGUAGGGGGUAUCGACCCCUUCUGUGCCGCAGUAAACACAAUAAGCAUUCCGCCUGGGGAGUACGGCCGCAAGGUUGAAACUCAAAUGAAUUGGCGGGG
rnacentral:rRNA from 1 species